CUCCGGUUGAUCCCGCCGGACCCGACUGCUAUCAGAGUGAGAUUAAGCCAUGCGAGUUAACGUAGCAAUACGUGGCGCACGGCUCAGUAACACGUAGUCAACAUGCCCAGAGGACGUGGAUAACCUCGGGAAACUGAGUCUAAACCGCGAUAAGUGAGGAUUUCUGGAAUGGUUCCUGACUAAAAUCUAUAUGGCCUCUGGAUUGGACUGCGGCCGAUCAGGCUGUUGGUGAGGUAAUGGCCCACCAAACCUGUAACCGGUACGGGCUCUGAGAGGAGGAGCCCGGAGAUGGGCACUGAGACAAGGGCCCAGGCCCUAUGGGGCGCAGCAGGCGCGAAACCUCUGCAAUAGGCGAAAGCCUGACAGGGUUACUCUGAGUGACUUUCGCUAAGAAAGUCUUUUGGCACCUCUAAAAAGGGUGCAGAAUAAGGGGUGGGCAAGUCUGGUGUCAGCCGCCGCGGUAAUACCAGCACCCCGAGUGGUCGGGACGAUUAUUGGGCCUAAAGCAUCCGUAGCCGGUUCUGCAAGUCUUCCGUUAAAUCCAGCUGCUCAACAGAUGGGCUGCGGGAGAUACUACAGGGCUAGGAGGCGGGAGAGGCAAGCGGUACUUUAUGGGUAGGGGUAAAAUCCGCUGAUCCAUAGAAGACCACCAGUGGCGAAGGCGGCUUGCCAGAACGCGCUCGACGGUGAGGGAUGAAAGCUGGGGGAGCAAACCGGAUUAGAUACCCGGGUAGUCCCAGCUGUAAACGAUGCAGACUCGGUGAUGGGUUGGCCUCGCGCCUGCCCAGUGCCGCAGGGAAGCCGUUAAGUCUGCCGCCUGGGGAGUACGGUCGCAAGACUGAAACUUAAAGGAAUUGGCGGGGGAGCCA
rnacentral:rRNA from 1 species